rnacentral:rRNA from 1 species
GAUGAACGCUGGCGGCGUGCUUAACACAUGCAAGUCGAACGAAGCACUUUAUUUGAUUUCCUUCGGGACUGAUUAUUUUGUGACUGAGUGGCGGACGGGUGAGUAACGCGUGGGUAACCUGCCUUGUACAGGGGGAUAACAGUUGGAAACGGCUGCUAAUACCGCAUAAGCGCACAGCAUCGCAUGAUGCAGUGUGAAAAACUCCGUUGGUAUAAGAUGGACCCGCGUUGGAUUAGCUAGUUGGUGAGGUAACGGCCCACCAAGGCGACGAUCCAUAGCCGACCUGAGAGGGUGACCGGCCACAUUGGGACUGAGACACGGCCCAAACUCCUACGGGAGGCAGCAGUGGGGAAUAUUGCACAAUGGGCGAAAGCCUGAUGCAGCGACGCCGCGUGAGCGAAGAAGUAUUUCGGUAUGUAAAGCUCUAUCAGCAGGGAAGAUAAUGACGGUACCUGACUAAGAAGCACCGGCUAAAUACGUG